rnacentral:rRNA from 1 species
CUACGGGACGCUGCAGUGGGGAAUAUUGGACAAUGGGGGAAACCCUGAUCCAGCAAUGCCGCGUGUGUGAAGAAGGCCUGCGGGUUGUAAAGCACUUUCGUUUGGGAGGACUGCUUCUAGCACUAAUAUUGUUGGAAGUUGACGUUACCUUCAGAAGAAGCACCGGCUAACUCCGUGCCAGCAGCCGCGGUAAUACGGAUGGUGCAAGCGUUAAUCGGAAUUACUGGGCGUAAAGCGCGCGUAGGCGGCUAGAUCAGUCGGGUGUGAAAGCCCCGGGCUUAACCUGGGAACUGCAUCCGAUACUGUCUAGCUUGAGUACAGGAGAGGAGAGUGGAAUUCCACAUGUAGCGGUGAAAUGCGUAGAUAUGUGGAGGAACACCAAUGGCGAAGGCAGCUCUCUGGCCUGAUACUGACGCUGAGGUGCGAAAGCGUGGGGAGCAAACAGGAUUAGAUACCGUGUAGUC